rnacentral:rRNA from 1 species
AUGUCAUAUAGGAGCAACAACCCUGAGAUCUCACCGUUUGCCUCUAGUUAUCCAAUGCAGGGAUUCAGGUACAAUGAGGAGAACCACAACUAUGCUCCACAACAGAUUCAUUCACCUCCUACUCAUAUACCUCAAUACCAGGAGAUGUGUCCAAUGGAGUUAAAUGGUCCUCCAUUUGGUCAACCAACAACUCCAGCACCUUUCGAGCAAUCUCAUGUGCAAGUCCCCACACAAGUUGAAUUUGAUGAUAUAGAGAAGCUCACAUUGCUUAGUCUCGAGUUCACUUGGAGUGCUGAAGAUGAUCCAAUUAGGCCGGUGAUACUAGACCAAAUGAAGAAGAUCAAGAGUGGGAAUGAGCUAGUGGAAGAAGUAAGGAAGAUUGAGAAGAACAUCAACGCCGGGUGUACUAUCUCAUACCUUCUUGAGCUGAGUGUUUCUGGGAUAUCCCUUGAGGUGUGUGAGGUUCCAACACCGUCACAUCCAGCUGAGCAAGAUAGCGAGAGUCUAGAGGAAGAGAUACCUCAGAUUGAAGAAGAUGUAGUCGAAGCCAAGGCACAAGAUGACCAAGAGCUGCAAUUCCCAAGUGAUCAAGUUGAAGAGUCAUCAUCUACUACUCCUGAAGAAUUAUUUUCCUCGUGCUAG